GCAGCAGCAGCAGCCGGAGCAGGAGGAGUUUGUUCAUGUCUGCAGUGUAUUGUGGAACAUAUUCUGGGAUGCAACACGGCAAGUGAGCACACGCAUCUCUUGAUAAUCGAAGGGUACUUUAGACGUCGCUUCUGAUAUCUCGCCUGGACCUUCCUCCAUUCUAGCAGGUAGGCGACAGUAGAGUAUAACAACGCGCCUGCAUUCAGCGACGCUACUUAUUUUCUCCAGUAUCUGCGUUAGAGACGUCAACGAUAGCCUACUCAUCGCCGACAUUUAUAACGCGCAUAUACUGGGGUAGCCUACUUAUUAUUUGCUUAGGUUAUUGUCUAUUUGUUAUUGGCGUCGGUCGGGGUCAGUAAAGGAACGUCAAAGGGAAUUGUUGAAUCGUUCGUAUUAAAUAGCCUCUCUCUGCAUUUCGCUGAUCAGCGUUUUGGAGAGCGAGCGUUCAUUUGGGAUAAGCACAGAGAGGGGGACACCUGUGGCUUUGUGGUGCGUUGGCAGCAGUCUUACUUAUACUCCGUUUUCCUGGCCACAACUACAGAGUGGUGAUAGAAAUCGUAUUAUCGCGCUGUAAUUGUAUGCAUAUUGACACGUAGCCUAUAAGCUGCAUAUCGGGGUCGAUAGGCAAUAGCAGCCUACCCUGAGCAUUUUGUAGAUAGAAUAGUGAACACAUCUCCGUGUAGGUUAGGCUAGAUGGAGUAGGUCGCAAGUGUUACGUGAUACAGGCUGAUAUCUGGUCAUAUUCGAGUAUCUUUCCGCUUCUCUUGUGGUCAUCGUGCCACACGCAUCCCUAGUUUCGUUCACACGGAUACUGGGUGGGUGUGACGCAAUUAAUUCGAUGAGGUCAGGUGACAGUCUUUAGGCCCUCAAUAAUGCUUAUUAUUUGUCAUAGGCCUAUAAUAUAAACAUCAUUUUUAUAUAUAUCUAAAAGCAACUGUCUGCUAAAUAAUAAGCUACGUGUUGAUGUUCUGAGGAAAUUUGAGAAAUUAUUUAAGUUUUCCUAAUUAGCAGAGUUUGCGUGUAUUUAUUCCUGUCACUUUAUAAAGAUUUUGAACAUGAAAAUAAUUCAGGUCAAAUUGAGUUAGACCUACUCUGUAUGUUAACAAUUACUCCCCUGAAGUUUACCUUUUUAAUAUGGCACCAGAGAACAAGGCUGACAUUUUACGUAUUCCCAACCAAUAGUGUUUUUAGUUUGUUUCUUUGCGUUGAACUUGAUACAUAACGUCGCUGCUACCAUCUCUUAUGACCGAAAAUAACUUCUGGGCAUCAGAACUGUGAUUACUCCCCAGGACUGGCAGAAUCCUUAUUUUCCUUUAUUGAGUCGACAAGCCCGACGUGAAUGAUAUACUGCUUCCCCCGGAACAGGCCCAGACCAGAUCCUGUCAUUUGCGUGAAGAGAAAGCGGAGAAAAAGGGGCCAGGGGGCGAGCUGCCUUCUGAGAAUUCGUAGGCGAUCGAAUAAACCCCCACUUCCUUCCAUUCUGCUAGCUAAUGUGCAAUCUUUGGAUAAUAAAAUUGAUGACCUACGCAGAAAAUUAAACAACGACUGGAACAUUCAAAACUGUAAUAUCUGAUGCUUCAUGGAGUCGUGGCUGAACAACGAAAUUAUCAACAUGGCUGGCUGGUUAUACUCUAUAUUGGCAGGACAGAACAGCGGCAGACGAGGGGCGGCUGACUAUUUUUUGUAAAUAACAGCUGAUGGAUGACUUCUAAGGAAGUCUCAAGGUUUUGCUCGUCUGAGGACAUCUCCCUCAACUUGAUCAAGACAAAGGAGAUGAUUUUGGACUACAGGAAAAAGAGGACAGAGCACGCCCCCAUUCACAUCGAUGAAGCUGCAGUGGAGCAGAUUGAGAGCUUCAAGUUCCUUGGUGUCCACAUCACCAACAAACUAUCAUGGUCCGAGCACACCAAGACAGUCGUGAAGAGGGCACGACAAAACCUAUUCCCCCUCAGGAGAUUGAAAAGAUUUGUCACGAGUCCUCAGAUCCUCAAAAGGUUCUUACAGCUGCACCAUCGAGAGUAUCCUGACUGGUUGCAUCACUGCCUGGUAUGGCAACAUUUUGGCCUCCGACCGCAAGGCACUACAGAAGGUAGUGCGUACGGCCCAGUACAUCACUGGGGCUAAGCUUUCUGCCGUCCAGGACCUCUACAUCAGGAGAUGUCAAAGGAAGGCUCUAAAAAUUGUCAGACUCCAGCCAUCCUAGACACAGACUGUUCUCUCUGCUACCCCACGGCGGUACCUGAGCGCCAAGUCUAGGUCCAAGAUGCUUCUAAACAGUUUCUAACCCCAAGCCAUAAGACUCCUGAACAUCUAAUCAAAUGGCUACCCAGACUAUUUGCAUUACCCCCCCCCUUUUACAUGGCUGCUACUCUGUUGUUAUUAUCUAUGCGUCGUCACUUUAAUAACUCUACCUACAUGUACAUAUUACCUCAACUAACCGGUGCCCCCGCAC
ensembl:lncRNA